rnacentral:rRNA from 1 species
AUGGACAUUGAGGAAGCUGAAAUCCAGCAACGUGCGUUGGAGACACAGUUGAAGGUUAUGGGUAUGACAUUUGCAUCACAAUGGGAGGCUCACAUGUUCUAUAAUAACUACGCCAAAGACCGUGGAUUCAUUAUCAGAAAAGAUAAGGUGAAACGAGGAAAAGGACUUUCAACCACUGUUCGGUAUAGGAGAUACGUUUGCUCGAGGGCAGGAAAACGUCUCAGUAAAUUUUUAAACCCGGAGGGCCGUACACGCAGGCUAAGACCAGAGACUCGUUGCGAGUGUGGCGCACAUUUAGUCGUGAAGUUGGACAAAGGACGUGGAGUUUGGUUCGUGGCAGCUUUUAUGGAUGAUCACAACCAUUUGUUGGCUAGACCAGAUGAGGUGGUAUUUCUGCGGUCACAUCGAGUGAUGGGAGAUCACCAAAUAGCUGAGAUCUUGGCGAUGGAAGGAGCUGGGAUCAGAAAGCAUAUCAUCGUUGACAACUUCAUUAGCAGGUAUGGCUCGUAUGAUAAGUGUGGGUUUCUGAGACGAGACGUGUACAAUCUAUGUUGCCGAGAAAAAAUGAAGUUGAUUGCGAAGGGUGAUGCUAACACGGCAAUCGGGAUUAUGAGGAGCAGAAAGGAGAAGGAUCCAGAGUUUUUCUUUGAGUACGUGCUCGAUAAGGAGGGCUGUUUGAAGAGCAUGUUCUGGUGCGAUGCACAGUCGCGGCGGGACUAUCAAUUGUAUGGAGAUGUGACGGUGUUCGACAACACGUAUAAGAUGAACAGAUAUGGUAUGCCGUUCAUCCCCUUUGUUGGUGUAAACAAUCACCGUUGCACCACAGUUUUUGGUUGUGCCAUUGUGUCCGACGAGACCGAAGCGACGUACGUGUGGCUGCUUCAGACAUCCUGA